GAAUCCAAGUGGGAGGAUAGAAAAUGCUUGUGAUUAAGGCUGCUUCCAUCGGAGUAUGGAAACUGAUUAUUAAUGCAUGAUAUAAUCAUCAGGUCUCAAACUAUAAUCAUACCUUCUAGAAAAUACGGAAGAAGAAGCCAGGAGUCGAAGCAGGAGGAGAGAGGAGGCUGGAGUAGAGAUGCCAAGAUGCAAUGAGAAG
rnacentral:lncRNA from 1 species